rnacentral:rRNA from 1 species
UCUCCUACGGGGGGCAGCAGUGAGGAAUAUUGGUCAAUGGGCGAGAGCCUGAACCAGCCAAGUCGCGUGAAGGAUGAAGGAUCUAUGGUUUGUAAACUUCUUUUAUAUGGGAAUAAAGAGAGGAACGUGUUCCUUUUUGUAUGUACCAUAUGAAUAAGCAUCGGCUAACUCCGUGCCAGCAGCCGCGGUAAUACGGAGGAUGCGAGCGUUAUCCGGAUUUAUUGGGUUUAAAGGGUGCGUAGGCGGGCUGUUAAGUCAGCGGUCAAAUGUCGGGGCUCAACCCCGGCCUGCCGUUGAAACUGGCG